AUUGAACGCUGGCGGCAUGCUUUACACAUGCAAGUCGGACGGUAACAGGCCGCAAGGUGCUGACGAGUGGCGAACGGGUGAGUAAUGCAUCGGAACGUGCCCAGUCAUGGGGGAUAACGCAGCGAAAGCUGUGCUAAUACCGCAUACGAUCUAUGGAUGAAAGCGGGGGACCGUAAGGCCUCGCGCGAUUGGAGCGGCCGAUGUCAGAUUAGGUAGUUGGUGGGGUAAAGGCUCACCAAGCCAACGAUCUGUAGCUGGUCUGAGAGGACGACCAGCCACACUGGGACUGAGACACGGCCCAGACUCCUACGGGAGGCAGCAGUGGGGAAUUUUGGACAAUGGGCGCAAGCCUGAUCCAGCAAUGCCGCGUGCAGGAAGAAGGCCUUCGGGUUGUAAACUGCUUUUGUACGGAACGAAAAGGUUUGGGUUAAUACCCUGGGCCGAUGACGGUACCGUAAGAAUAAGCACCGGCUAACUACGUGCCAGCAGCCGCCGUAA
rnacentral:rRNA from 1 species